rnacentral:rRNA from 1 species
AUUGAACGCUGGCGGCAGGCCUAACACAUGCAAGUCGAGCGGAUGAAGGGAGCUUGCUCCUGGAUUCAGCGGCGGACGGGUGAGUAAUGCCUAGGAAUCUGCCUGGUAGUGGGGGAUAACGUCCGGAAACGGGCGCUAAUACCGCAUACGUCCUGAGGGAGAAAGGGGGGGAUCUUCGGACCUCACGCUAUCAGAUGAGCCUAGGUCGUAUUAGCUAGUUGGUGGGGUAAAGGCCUACCAAGGCGACGAUCCGUAACUGGUCUGAGAGGAUGAUCAGUCACACUGGAACUGAGACACGGUCCAGACUCCUACGGGAGGCAGCAGUGGGGAAUCUUGGACAAUGGGCGAAAGCCUGAUCCAGCCACGCCGCGUGUGUGAAGAAGGUCUUCGGAUUGUAAAGCUCUUUAAGUUGGGAGGAAGGGCAGUAAGUUAAUCUCUUCCUGUUUUGACGUUACCAACAGAAUAAGCCCCGGCUAACUUCGUG